CAUAUGUUAUAGGGUGUGACCAGGUGCAGCGGGUAUGGAUCAAGAAAUACACUUGGGCCAUGAAACCCCUUUGAGCACAAAAAGCCCAAUUCUCCAAAACUUCAACAAACGGAUUUGAAACCUGAACAUUCAUCACGAUUUGGCUUCGCGUUCAAACGAGAAAGAAGAAAACGCUUCAUUCAAACAUGGAAAAAGAACGACUCACUAUAUGUGUUGGAUCUCCUUCGGUGGACGCGUGAGUCAACGUGAACUCAACGUAAAUCUCAGUCUCGAUUCUUCAAUUCGUAUCACCGUCGCUGCGUUGUUGUUGUAGUCCGAUUCUGACUUGCACCGUGUUAUUGAAGACUAGGACUGAAGCAUUGUAAGAUGAAGGUUGAAGCAGUGAAUCGAUCUCUUCACCAAUUGUUCGUUAGAGGAUUCACGAUGACAGAUGGCGAAGCAUAGAGGUCUCCAAUUGAAAUGUUUAUGGUGAAUCCAAAUUAAUGCAGAUGAGGGUCUUUAAUCUUCCAGAGCUUUCUCUUUUCCUUCUGAUUUCUCCGUGGGAUAUGUUGAGCUGCUGUUAGUAUUGGUGCAAAGAUGUGCAUUUGGAAAUUUUAUAAAAUCUUAGAGUUGCUAUGCUUGGAGUGUUACUCAUGGAGCUGGUGUGGUGAAUCAUAUGCUAAUGGAAUAUUGGAUUGUAUUGAUUGUUAUGCUGAGAUUGUGUAUAGUUAUAAAUGGAAUUAAAACUAUGUAUUAAAAAUGGUUGUAAUUUUGUUGUAGUGGAUUGGUUUGAAAAAAAAGUAAUUUGAAUUGGUCAUUGGGCUUAUGAAUGGAUUUGAAAUUGAACAUUUGGGAUUGAAAA